CUACGGAGGAUGCGAGCGUUAUCCGGAUUUAUUAGGUUUAAAGGGUGUGUAGGCGGUAUUUUAAGUCAGUGGUGAAAUCUCGGAGCUUAACUUCGAGACUGCCAUUGAUACUGGAAUACUUGAGUAUAGUUGAGGUAGGCGGAAUAUGUAAUGUAGCGGUGAAAUGCAUAGAUAUUACAUAGAACACCGAUUGCGAAGGCAGCUUACUAAACUAUUACUGACGCUGAUGCACGAAAGCGUGGGGAGCGAACAGGAUUAGAAACCCCAGUAGUCC
rnacentral:rRNA from 1 species